AGCUUUGCGCAGUGGCAAUAUCAUAGCCAAUGAGGUUUAUCCAAAGCGCGAUUAUUGCUAAUUCAAAUAACAACAACAAAAACACAAUGUAAUGCCUACAACAUUAUUAGAUGUUAAUAUUUAUAACAUAUAGCAAUGA